CAUAUACUCCUUCCGUCUCAUAUUAAGUGACUCAAAUUUGCCCAAAUAUGAAUGUAUCUAUACAAAAAAUAAACAUCUAGAUACAUGUAAUAUUUUAUCACUUAAUAUGGGACAGAGGGAGUACAUA
rnacentral:pre_miRNA from 1 species